rnacentral:lncRNA from 1 species
GCCAGAGGGAGCAGCUCGGAGGGAGCAGCUCAGAGGAAGCAGCUCGGGGGGAGCAGCUCAGAGGGAGCAGUCCUCUGUCCCCUGAGUUUAGACCUUCCUGAGUUGGCAGGAGGAAGACCAGAGGGCAAGAUGACACGAAGGGAUGACAAUCAGCUGAGGGGCCCGUAGGGACUGCGACCACAUUUCUCAACAAAAACCAUG